rnacentral:tRNA from 1 species
ACCUAAAUAGUUUAAUUAAAAUAUUGAUUUGUGGUAUCAAAGAUAUAUAAAUAUAUUUUAGGUU